rnacentral:ncRNA from 1 species
UAUACUUUACCGCCGGGUAAUCCUGUCUUAGCUUCAUUCCGUUAGGCCUUUGUAGGAAUGGGACUAAGAUUUUUUUAUUA